CUUUUUAGUAAAUAAUAAUGAGUCGUUACUUAUGAUGCAAGGUGAUUUGUAGAUCAGUCAGUAGACAGUCGCCUGCAGUUGUUUUGAUGCUCUCGAACGCGGCCGAUGUUUCUUCCGCAUCAGUAGAGCGGGCACUGUAACUUCAGCCUUUCUCCUCUUAAGAACUCUUAGAGAUGUCCCUGUGUAGAUGACAUCGUCAGGAAUUAUGGAACACAAGAUUGAUUUUCAAGAACUUCUGGCCAGACUGGUUAUCUCAGAGCCAACAGAUCCUAUUAUCAAGUGCAUUAUUAAUAAUAAUCUGAAGAGGCUGAAGAAAUUGAUUAGAGGCAAGGACAUCAAUGCAUUGUACCCUUGUGUUGAGUUACAAGAUGAAGUAACCCCUUUAAUUGCUGCUGUUGCAUUUGCAAAUCAGGAGAUUUGUACAUUUCUUCUGGGAAAAGGUGCUGACCCCAACAAACCAUCAAAGAGAUUUUUAGCACCAUUGCAUUAUGCUGGACUGCGUAAAGUUCCAGUGAAUAUAGUAACAACAUUACUGGAAGCAAAGGCAGAUCCAAAUGGUCUAGUAGAAACAGGCCUACCUGUAAAACCAAAGUUCUCUCCAAUUCAAUUAGCACAUGACAGAGAGGAUGUUGUGAAGAAGUUGCUCGAAUCUGGAGCUUUAAUGUGGCUAAAUCAUGGCAUCCAUCCUGCAAUUGAUCUGAAAUUGGCCACAAUAAUUGAAAACUUUGCGAAAGAGAGUGAGUUCUUUUCCAAAAUCAAGAUUUUUAAAAAUUUUGUGAAAGCAGUAAAACAAACAUCCCCAACAGAAGUGUUCAGCAGCUUUGCCCAGAACCUUCUACAGGUGAACCCCCAAACCCACCUUACUAUGGUUGACAUGUGCUUUAACAUUGAAGGUGCAUAUGCAGAAAAAUACCCCCAGACAGCCAUUACAUGGUUGAACGACUCCAAUAAACUAGAUUACUAUGUUAAAGAUGUAAGCAAACGUCUGUCUACAAUUCCUCAGCUUUUUAGGGCAGGUGCAUUGAAAUCCUUAGAUAGAGUUGUUUGCUCCAUGAAGGAAAUACCUAAUGAGGUGUCACUUACCCUAAUUCCUGAGUUAGUGAAACUGUUUUCCUGUAAAACAGAUGAUUUUCUUGUUCCAUUGAUCAUUGUUAUACUUUAUGGCAUCACACAGAAGACAAAAGACAAGGAUCGUUGGAGCAACUCUGACCUUGAGAAAAUAUGCAAGCACAUUGUCCCAUGCACACAGAGGGAGGGUUAUCCCUCUGAAUUGAAGAUGUAUGCCUAUGCCUUGCUAGCAGAUCUUUACACAUUUAGUUGUGUUCCUGGUUACAUCAGCUCUCUGGGACUGACUCUGGUACCUGAAGAACUACUUAUCUGGGGAAGGGAUGAAAACCUGAAAGUAAAGAUGAGAGAUUUAAACAAAUCCUUAAACGGACAACUUUCUGUCUCCAAGUCAGCAAGUGAAGAUUCAAAAGAUAGUUAUUUAUCAGAAACCAACAAGAAGAAGAAGAAGAAGAGGAGAACGGCAGAAAAACAAGACAUACCAAAAGAAGAGACAGACACACAAGAAAAUAAUGCAUGUUUAGCCUUCAAUACUUCAUCUACUCCUGUUGAGGAAUCUGGCCUUGAUGAGUCUUCUAGUGUCAAUCCGUUCCACCCCACCACUGACACAUCACCAUUACAGCGCAAAUGGCUCAAAGUCAGCAAGCGGUGGGAGACACAGUUAGAGAAGCUUGCCAACAUGGAUGAAUGUAAAGUUUAUAGGGUAGGAAACCUCACUAUUGUAGAUGAUGCAGAAUUCUACAUAGCAAAGGGAAGUGAUGGAACUGAGGUCUUCUUGGGCCUCAGGGAUGAUGGCACUGAAGUAGCCAUAAAGAGAAUGACCAGAUUAAACUAUCAAGUUCUCAAGAAUGAGGAGGAAUUCCUACAUCUUCCUAAACUUGAUAAUCCCUACAUUGUAAGAUAUGUUGACUUUGCCGAGGAUACAAUCUUUGGCUACCUUGUUCUUCAGCUGUGCGAAUACACCUUGGAUGAAUACAUCAAAGACCACUUACCAAAGGACAACCCUCAUGUUCUGAAGGAAAUUGUACAUGAUGUUCUCUCUAGACUAGGAGUGCUUCACAGUAAAGACACCAACAUACUCCACAGGGAUAUCAAACCCCAGAAUGUUUUGAUAGAUGUUACCGGCAGGGCAAGAUUAGCUGAUUUUGGUAUAAGUCGACAAUUGACCACGGGACAAACAACUGUAAAAACAAGAAGUGCUGGAACAAAAUGCUGGAUGGCCAGGGAAACUUUCGAUGAAGACGACGAUAUCAGAUAUAAGCGGAGCACUGAUAUUUAGGUGGUUGGAAUGUUGAUAUAUUACAUCCUGUCUGGUGGACACCGCGCCUUUGGCAGAGGUCCUCGAUGUGAGAGCAACAUUCUGGAUGGGAAGUACAAUCUGGAUCACGUUGUAGAUGAGGUUACAAAUGACCUCAUUGAGUGGAUGAUCAACGAAGACCCAAAAAAGAGACCUACUGUGGAGGAGACCUUGGAUCACCCCUACUUCUGGGAUGAGAAGAGGAAAGUUGAGUACUUGAGAAGAAUUGGGAAUGAGAAGGAGGUCGGGAAGUAUAGUGAUGCUGACCCAGAACUUCUAGAAGCUCUGAAACAAAGUGCCAUGGAGAGAACCUUCUGCCAGUGGAAAUCCAAGCUGCCGCCUGAUUUGAUCGAGAAGAUGGAUGGCAGAAAGCCCUACCCUGAGAACAUAUUGGGGUUACUACGCUUCAUACGCAACCUCCAUGAGCACUAUGCUGAGGAUUUUGAGUCUGUUGACCCGAUGAAAAUGUUCCCUGAUCUCUUUGGAUGCGUCUACAUGUUGGCCAAGAAACAGGACUGGAAUUCAAGGCCUGGUCUGAAAAAAAUGUGUCCGAGAAAUUUAAGCUCAUGAUUCUGAAAUGUAAACUGUAUGUCAUUUUAAACUGAUGAAAUAUGAACUAAUGUCAUAGACUCUUUGUAAGUAGAGCCAGUGAUCUGUGUUAAGGACAUUUUAUAUUCUACAUUUUCACUGAUAGACCUAAUAUACAUAUGAUUUAUACAAACCAAGAUUACAUGGUUGUAGCAUACUUAUCAUGGGGGAUUUGAAUGUAAAUUAUAACCUUGUGAAAUCUUAAUAAGGCUAUGUGUUUGCUUGUUUCAGUUUACAUUUACACAAAGCAUUGAUAUGAUAGCAAUGACUUGUCAACCUUAUUGUUCAUACAGUCGUUUUUUUUAAAGGAAUCUAGUAGGUUUUGUCCAGUGUUGUCCACUUGUUUUUUUUUUCAUUGUAACACAGCUGGUAGACAACAUAAAAUAUGCCUCAGUGACACUUCUACUCUAACAACUCAAACAUUCAUGGUUGUUUUUAUUUGGAGGUUUACGGGAUUUGUAAUAAUAUGAAUUAUCUGGAUGAGAUUUUCUAGAGAUGUCUGGAUCAAAAUGUUUACAUACUAUCGUUUCUUUAUAUCUGUGUAUUGCUUGGUAUGAACAUGAAGCCUACCAAGUGUGCAUUGAAACAACUGUAUUGUUCUCUAUUCAGUGAUUCAAUCAAGGAGCUCUGACGUCCUUUUGUGGAUAGAACUGAGAAUCAUCCGUUUUCUAUGAAUUGAACACCAAAAGAAUCCAGCAAGUCUCAA